rnacentral:rRNA from 1 species
ACUGGCAGCCCACUGAAGCUAAGCAGGCUGUGAGCCUGGUCAGUACCUGGAUGGGAGACCUCCUGGGAAAAACUAAGGUUGCUGCUGGAA